GGGCCCAUAGCUCAGCGGUUAGAGCAGGUGACUCAUAAUCACUUGGUCGGAGGUUCGAUCCCUUCUGGGCCCA
rfam:Candidatus Omnitrophica bacterium CG1_02_43_210 cg_0.2_sub10_scaffold_641_c, whole genome shotgun sequence.